rnacentral:rRNA from 1 species
UACGAAGGGGGCUAGCGUUGUUCGGAAUCACUGGGCGUAAAGCGCACGUAGGCGGAUCGUUAAGUCGGGGGUGAAAUCCUGGAGCUCAACUCCAGAACUGCCUUCGAUACUGGCGAUCUUGAGUCCGGAAGAGGUGAGUGGAACUCCUAGUGUAGAGGUGGAAUUCGUAGAUAUUAGGAAGAACACCAGUGGCGAAGGCGGCUCACUGGUCCGGUACUGACGCUGAGGUGCGAAAGCGUGGGGAGCGAACAGG